rnacentral:rRNA from 1 species
AAAGGGCACUCUAAUGAGACUGCCGGUGACAAACCGGAGGAAGGUGGGGAUGACGUCAAGUCCUCAUGGCCCUUAUAGGUGGGGCUACACACGUCAUACAAUGGCUGGUACAAAGGGUUGCCAACCCGCGAGGGGGAGCCAAUCCCAUAAAGCCAGUCGUAGUCCGGAUCGCAGUCUGCAACUCGACUGCGUGAAGUCGGAAUCGCUAGUAAUCGUGGAUCAGCAUGUCACGGUGAAUACGUUCCCGGGCCUU